rnacentral:rRNA from 1 species
UACGAGGGGGGCGAGCGUUGUUCGGAAUUACUGGGCGUAAAGCGUGCGCAGGCGGUUCGUUGUGUCGGUGGUGAAAGCCCCGGGCUUAACCUGGGAAUGGCCAUGGAAACUGGCGAACUGGAGUGUGGCAGAGGGGGGUGGAAUUCCGCGUGUAGCAGUGAAAUGCGUAGAGAUGCGGAGGAACACCGAUGGCGAAGGCAGCCCCCUGGGCUAGCACUGACGCUCAGGCACGAAAGCGUGGGGAGCAAACAGG